rnacentral:rRNA from 1 species
CCCUUAGAUGUUCUGGGCCGCACGCGCGCUACACUGAUGCAUUCAACGAGCCUAGCCUUGACCGAGAGGUCCGGGUAAUCUUUGAAACUGCAUCGUGAUGGGGCUAGAUUAUUGCAAUUAUUAAUCUUCAACGAGGAAUGCCUAGUAAGCGCAAGUCAUCAGCUUGCGUUGAUUACGUCCCUGCCCUUUGUACACACCGCCCGUCGCUCCUACCGAUUGAAUGGUCCGGUGAAGCGUUCGGACCGUGGCCUUUGGACGGUUCGCCGUCUGUUGGCUGCGGGAAGUUCGUUAAACCUUAUCAUUUAGAGGAAGGAGAAGUCGUAACA